UCUCCGUUGGUGAACCAGCGGAGGGACCAUUACCGAGUUUACAACUCCCAAACCCCUGUGAACAUACCUAUCGUUGCCUCGGCGGUGCCCGCUCCGGCGGCCCGCCAGAGGACCCCCAAACUCUUGUUUUAUACAGUAUCUUCUGAGUAACACGAUUAAAUAAAUCAGAACUUUCAACAACGGAUCUCUUGGUUCUG
rnacentral:misc_RNA from 1 species